rnacentral:rRNA from 1 species
UACGAAGGGGGCUAGCGUUGUUCGGAUUUACUGGGCGUAAAGCGCACGUAGGCGGAUCGUUAAGUCGGGGGUGAAAUCCUGGAGCUCAACUCCAGAACUGCCUUCGAUACUGGCGAUCUCGAGUCCGGAAGAGGUGAGUGGAACUCCUAGUGUAGAGGUGGAAUGCGUAGAUAUCGGGAGGAACACCAGUGGCGAAGGCGGUUGCCUGGGGCUUUGCUGACGCUGAUGCGCGAAAGCGUGGGGAGCGAUCCGG